rnacentral:rRNA from 1 species
GAUGAACGCUGGCGGCGUGCCUAAUACAUGCAAGUCGAGCGAAUGGAUUAAGAGCUUGCUCUUAUGAAGUUAGCGGCGGACGGGUGAGUAACACGUGGGUAACCUGCCCAUAAGACUGGGAUAACUCCGGGAAACCGGGGCUAAUACCGGAUAACAUUUUGAACCGCAUGGUUCGAAAUUGAAAGGCGGCUUCGGCUGUCACUUAUGGAUGGGCCCGUGUCGCAUUAGCUAGUUGUUGAGGUAACGUCUCACCAAGGCAACGAUGCGUAGCCGACCGGAGAGGGUGAUCGGCCACACUGGGACUGAGACACGGCCCAGACUCCUACCGGAGGCAGCAGUAGGGAGUCUUCCGCAAUGGACGAAAGUCUGACGGAGCAACGCCGCGUGAGUGAUGAAGGCUUUCGGGUCGUAAAACUCUGUUGUUAGGGAAGAACAAGUGCUAGUUGAAUAAGCUGGCACCUUGACGGUACCUAACCAGAAAGCCACGGCUAACUACGUGCCAGCCGCCGCGGUAA